GUCCAGGGAUGGGAAUCGAAUCCACAAUGUUCCGCUUACUGGGCAGAUGCCAUGUCCACUAGGCUACCCUGGA